GGGGAAUUUUCCGCAAUGGGCGAAAGCCUGACGGAGCAAUACCGCGUGAGGGAUGACGGCCUAUGGGUUGUAAACCUCUUUUUUCAGGGAGGAAUCAAUGACGUGUACCUGAAGAAUAAGCAUCGGCUAACUCCGUGCCAGCAGCCGCGGUAAGACGGAGGAUGCAAGUGUUAUCCGGAAUCACUGGGCGUAAAGCGUCUGUAGGUGGUCAAAUAANUCAACUGUUAAAUCUUGAGGCUCAACCUCAAAAUCGCAGUCGAAACUAUUAGACUCGAGUAUAGUAGGGGUAAAGGGAAUUUCCAGUGGAGCGGUGAAAUGCGUANAGAUUGGAAAGAACACCGAUGGCGAAGGCACUUUACUGGGCUAUUACUAACACUCAGAGACGAAAGCUAGGGUAGCAAAUGGGAUUAGAUACCCCAGUAGUC
rnacentral:rRNA from 1 species